UGGGCGUAAAGCGGGCGCAGACGGUUACUUAAGCAGGAUGUGAAAUCCCCGGGCUCAACCUGGGAACUGCGUUCUGAACUGGGUGACUAGAGUGUGUCAGAGGGAGGUAGAAUUCCACGUGUAGCAGUGAAAUGCGUAGAGAUGUGGAGGAAUACCGAUGGCGAAGGCAGCCUCCUGGGAUAACACUGACGUUCAUGCCCGAAAGCGUGGGUAGCAAACAGGAUUAGAUACCCUGGUAGUCCACGCCCUAAACGAUGUCGAUUAGCUGUUGGGCAGCUUGACUGCUUAGUAGCGAAGCUAACGCGUGAAAUCGACCGCCUGGGGAGUACGGUCGCAAGAUUAAAACUCAAAGGAAUUGACGGGGACCCGCACAAGCGGUGGAUGAUGUGGAUUAAUUCGAUGCAACGCGAAGAACCUUACCUGGUCUUGACAUGUACGGAACCCUCCAGAGACGGAGGGGUGCCUUCGGGAGCCGUAACACAGGUGCUGCAUGGCUGUCGUCAGCUCGUGUCGUGAGAAG
rnacentral:rRNA from 1 species